ensembl:lincRNA
GAAGUUUCCACUCAACAUUCAGGGUCCCAUGAUAACCACUUGGAGUUUAUUGUUAAAUCUGAGGACCCCAACUGGCUCCAGAAGGAACUCUGCCCUCUACCAGAAAAGGAUGAAGAGAAGAACUCAACCUCACAGAAAAAUAACAACCAGCCUAUGAACUCCCUUUCCCCAGAAUAAAAGAGGUC